CGCUCAGACGCCGGCAGUGCGCGCCCUUUUCCGACACUCCCAGAUCCCUGCAAAGGUCGGUUCUGGAGGCAAGUCCCAACCAACUCUGUGACCACGGCCCUCAGAGGAGAGGAGACCCCAAAAGUCUCCGUGAAACCUGGACCCCAGGUCUAAGGGAGCCUGUCACCGUCUCUGAUCACCAGGAGGGACGAAGAUGCCAGUGGACACCUGUCUUCCCAGCGGCCCAUGAGCAGGGCUACAAACUUUGCCAAGACUCCUGAUGGGGGUAAAAUCAGGGGAGAAGCCCCUCUGUGGUGUGACCCCUCCCUCUGGAGCAACGGAUGCAUGUCAUUUUGUUGAGAACAGAACAACACCCCCACCUCAAGACGUCUGCAGCCUAAUCCCUGGGACCUCGGAAUGUGACAAAGGCAGGGUUAAGAUGUUAAUCAGCUGCCUUGUGCUUGGUGGAUGUCCUGGCUCAUCCGAGGACACUGCCAAAUGUGAGGGUCCUUGAGGGGCCAGAGACACGGCAGUGUGGGGAGGACUUGGCCAGCCACAGCUGGCUUCUGCAGGUGGCCUCUUGAGGCCCUGGCUUCCCUAGAGUUUUCAUCAGGACCAGCCCAGCCCGCUGACACCUGAUUUUAGCCCAGAGAGACCCACUUGGACUUUGGCACCAGACCUGUGCAGUAGUAAGUCUGGGCUGUUUGCAGUUAAUUGUUACAGCUGCGGUUGGAAGCCAGUCUCCCUUCCAAGGCACCUCUUAUCACCCCUGCUUCUAUGGGAGAAGAAGGCUGACCCAACGUUCAGCUUUAGAUCUUCAUGAAGUUUUGGAGGGCAAGCUUCUGAAAACAUCAUGAAAGAACACUUUCUGGAGCACAGUCUGUCCUCAUGAGGUGGACAGGGCAGGAGGUGUUCUGAGAACUCUCACCUCGGUUUUGCUGAAGAGGCCAGGCAGGCACUGGGGGUUGGGGACUGCACUCAGGGGCUUCCCCUCUCUCUGCUGAAGAGCGGCCGGACGCCCGGACCAGGCCACCAAGGAGCCACUGAAAGCGGUCCAGCCGGACCUUCGCGAGAGUCCAGAUGGCUUCUACUUGGGCCUGGAAUUUCGGGGGUGAGACCCUGAUUCCAGAACCUCGUUCCUGUGGUUUCCAGACGCCCAGAGGAGCUAGAAGUGAUUUAAGGAAGGCCUGCAAAUCCUAGGACAGCGAGGGGUGUUGAGGGGAGCGGGCCUCAGCAGGGGGGCCUGUGGACUGUACAUGCAGAGCAGAGCACGACCCUCAAAAUGUGGAGAAGAGAACCCACAGCCGGGACCACGAUCCCUCACUGCACUCUCCUUGCUCAUGCGUGGACCUGCACAACUAGGUGGUUUCACAAGUGUAGCCUUAACUUUGGAAAUCUUCCUUUCCUUCAGAGGUUUUCUGUUUCCUCCUCCCUCCAUCCCAAGGGAAGAUCUCCUUUUUCCCCAGUAAUGAGGGACAUCAGACUGUUGCAAUGUCUGGCCAGAAGCCUGACGUUGGGUGAGGUGCCCGGAAGCUCCUGCACGGAGCUGCCCACCCACUCACCUGCCUAGGCCUUGGGGCAGUGGGGCAGGUCACCUGGCCGGCCAAGCCCCUUGCACUUGGGGCAGGUGGAAGGUUCUAGCUGCCAAGUCCUGCGGGCAAGAGCUGGAGUUGGGUGGUGCCCACGUCUCAGACGCCACCCAGGCUGAGCUCACCUCCCCGCAUCACCCAGUGCUGUGCUGCCUCCUGGCACUCGGAGCUGACCCACGGCAAUGGACAGGAGGCAUGUGCCAAGUGCCAGGUACAGAUGGCACUCAGAGUGGGUAGGAAGAGGGGUCAGGGGAGGUGCAAGGGGGGCUGGGAGUCGCAUGCCUGAUUCUAGUCCUGGCUCUGCUGAAGGGCUGUGGCACCUGACCUGAUGUCUUAAUGUCUCUGGGCCUCAGUUUCCUAUUUUAUCUCCCCUAUAGAAGUGGAAGCAAACUUACAAAGAAUUCCAUUUGUUGUGGUCAUUGAAGCCCAUGUCCACUUCCCUUUUACCCCAUCUGGUCAGUCAGGCCCAGAGGCACCGGGGGAGGGCAGGGAGCCAGCAACAGGGGCAGCCAGUGGCCUCAGGGAGCAGCAGCAGGGGCUCCUGAGUCCUGCUGCCCAGAGCGAGGGUAGGGGGCAUCCCGUCCGGGCCUUCAGUGCCCUGGUGCCCAGUGCAGCUGCCCUGGCCUUGGAGGGAAGGGCACCCAUGGCCGGCCUCCAGGUCAGCUCUGUAGACAGACCCCUCUGUCCACUUAAACAUAGCUUCUGCAAAAGUGCCCUCUGCCCUCCCUGACCCACCACACAGCAGAGGCCACUCCCAGCCAGGGUAGGGCAGGAGCUCAGCCUCUGAGCCUCUGCAGGAGGCUUCUGGGGCUUGUAAUCCCGCCUAAUCCUGCCUCAGAUCCCCUUGGGCAGGAGGAAGGCCACACACAGGAUCCUCAGGCCCAUGUUGGUCCUGGGGACAGGCCAGGGGAGGGGCCCUCUCCAGGCCUGAGCCCCUCCCCUGGGGGACCUGGGGGUCUGGGUCCAGGCCCAGCGCACACAGACCUGGAGCUGGGAGGCAGGUGUGCCGGCACAGAAGGUGACGUCAACCUGCCUGGCCCAGGCCCAGGCCCAGGGCCAGAAAAAACCAGAGCUGGGGCCUCCCCAGCUCCCUGGGUGGGAGAUACUGGGGGCCUUACAGGGUGUUCUGGCAUUUUGGUCCACACUGGACAUGGACCCUGCUUUGAGAAGUGCAUGGAAAGGGGGUUCCUCUCCAAGCUGAUGGCCUCCAUUCCUAAAAAUGGCCAAGCUGGAGGACAACUUUAUAUGUGGGCCAAAUGGGCCAGCUCCAGAAAGGCGUCCUCCCCAGCCCACCCCCCUCAGCCCCAGCCCAUGCCAGGUGCACCCCAAAUUGCCGGGGCCCUGUUAGCCCCCACAGUGGCCGCUGGGCAGUGCCUGGACCGCUCCAGGGAGAGGGAGUGAAUGAGGGGCAGCAGGGGGCCAGAUGGUCACACCAGUGCACUCCCAGGGCACCCUCCCACAGCCCUCCAGCUAUGAUGAAACAGGAGCGGGACGCCUGGGAGGCCUGGUUAACAAAGAGUGAAGUCUGAGCAGACACUCUGCUGCCAGAAGCGCUAUGCGGACAGAGGCAGGGUUAGGGGGCCUGUGCGGUGGGAGGUGAGGCCAUGCAAGCAGAUAGGGUAGGGGUCCCUGGAGAAAGGGAACCAGGCAUGGCUUUCUUGACAGAAGGGAAGCCAUUUUAUGGGCUAAGCCUGGCCACAGUGCUUGCCCUUGAGCAGGUGUCGAUCAUUAAUGAUCUCAAGGGGACAAAAGAACGCACAAACAAACUGUUAUCGGGCAAGAUAACGUGUCAGUUGUCGAGUCUUCAGUUCUGUUCCGAUGGCAAAGAUUAGCUGAGGCUGAACCACCAGUCCACUGACCCUCAGGGAGGACGAUGCUGACCUUUUCUAACCCUUGUGACUUCAAUCAACCGAAGCUCAGACUCUGUCGACCGCCCAGGUCCCCUCACAAAUAUGCACGUCCCCUUAGCUUAAAACUUCGCCAGCUUUGCUGCUCCAGGGGACACCACUCUGCUGAACGUCCCAGGUGUUCUGCCUACCUGCUGCGAGUAACAGUAAAUGCUUCCUUCUCCUGUG